rnacentral:rRNA from 1 species
UCUACGGGAGGCAGCAGUAGGGAAUAUUGCUCAAUGGGGGAAGCCCUGAAGCAGCAACGCCGCGUGGAGGAUGAAGGUUUUCGGAUUGUAAACCUCUUUUGUCGGGGAACAAAGGCGCCCACGGGUGGGCGGAUGAGUGUACCCGAAGAAAAAGCAUCGGCUAACUCCGUGCCAGCAGCCGCGGUAAUACGGAGGAUGCGAGCGUUAGCCGGAUUUAUUGGGGUUAAAGGGUGCGUAGGCGGACAGUCAAGUCAGCGGUAAACAUGCGGUGCUCAACGCCGUACAGCCGUUGAAACUGGCAGUCUGGAGUGGGCGAGAAGUAGGCGGAAUGCGUGGUGUAGCGGUGAAAUGCAUAGAUAUCACGCAGAACUCCGAUUGCGAAGGCAGCAUACCGGCGCCCGACUGACGCUGAGGCACGAAAGCGUGGGUAUCGAACAGGAUUAGAUACCCUUGUAGUC